rnacentral:lncRNA from 1 species
UGGGAUAUAGAGCAGAUUUAAAAAAUAUUCAAUAAAAUUAACAAAAAGAAAAAAUAUUUAUGACUGGGUUCAAGAGCUCUGGGUUGAGACCAAUACCAUCCAAAAAAACCUUUUUUUUAUCCUAAUUGAUUCUCAUCCACAUCGAUAUCUUGUCAAGUUUUAAAUGAUGUUGUAUACGCUUUUUUCCUUAUUUCUCUAAGAGUAUAAAAUAAU